CAUUGCUCUGAGGAUGGCACCAAGCCUUUCAAGAGGGAUCUGCUCCCACGACUGAAAUAUCUCCCAGCAGACCCCAACUCCAAAACUGGGGAUCACAUUUCAAUAUGAGAUUUGGAGGGACUAACAUAGAGACUAUAUCAGCCCCCAUUUAUCUGUAAUCCUUCUCUUUCUUUAAUAGAAGUUGGAGAGCUAAAAUUGUAGCCAUCUCAACAUCCUUUGCAACUAGGGAGAAUGUAGACAAGACCCCAGGAGCUGCAGCAGUCAUCUGCUCACACUGAAGUUCGUAGAACUAAAAGACGGAAGGAGCCUGGGAUGCUGAUGAAAUUGUGAAGCUACUGACACAAGCCCUGGACUGCCUAUCUCUGGACUCUACUGGAUGGGUCCACAUGGCAAGGAACCAAGGGUAGCCUCUGGCCAGCAACCAGAGAAGAUAAAGAUCUCCAACAACGUCUGCGUUUGGAAGAGGAUUGUUCUUCCGUAGAGUUUUCUGAUGAGGCCCCAGCCUUGGCAACAUCUUGACUGUCUCCUUGUAAAGGGACCUUGAGACAGAGGACUCAGCUCAGCCGUGCCAGACUCCUGACUCACAGAAACAGUGAGAUUAUAAAAACAAACUGUUUUAAGCCACUAAGUUUUGAGUAAUUUGUCACACA
rnacentral:lncRNA from 1 species